CGCUGGCGGCAUGCCUAACACAUGCAAGUCGAACGAGACCUUCGGGUCUAGUGGCGCACGGGUGCGUAACGCGUGGGAACCUGCCUUUAGGUUCGGAAUAACUCAGAGAAAUUUGAGCUAAUACCGGAUGAUGUCGCAAGACCAAAGAUUUAUCGCCCAAGGAUGAGCCCGCGUAGGAUUAGCUUGUUGGUGAGGUAAAAAGCUCACCAAGGCGACGAUCCUUAGCUGGUCUGAGAGGAUGAUCAGCCACACUGGGACUGAGACACGGCCCAGACUCCUACGGGAGGCAGCAGUGGGGAAUAUUGGACAAUGGGCGAAAGCCUGAUCCAGCAAUGCCGCGUGAGUGAUGAAGGCCUUAGGGUUGUAAAGCUCUUUACCCGAGAUGAUAAUGACAGUAUCGGGAGAAUAAGCUCCGGCUAACUCCGUG
rnacentral:rRNA from 1 species